rnacentral:rRNA from 1 species
UACAGAGGGUGCAAGCGUUAAUCGGAAUUACUGGGCGUAAAGCGCGCGUAGGCGGCCUCGUAAGUCCGUUGUGAAAGUCAAAGGCUCAACCUUUGAAAGCCGAUGGAUACUGUGAGGCUAGAGUCCGGAAGAGGCGAGUGGAAUUCCUGGUGUAGCGAUGGAAUGCGCAGAUAUCAGGAGGAACACCAAUAGCGAAGGCAGCUCGCUGGGACGGUACUGACGCUAAGGCGCGAAAGCGUGGGGAGCGAACAGG